ACGAACGCUGGCGGCGUGCUUAACACAUGCAAGUCGAACGAUGAAGAAAAGAAUUGCAGCUUCGGCAGAAAUUCAUUUCGGAUUAGUGGCAGACGGGUGAGUAACGCGUGAGCAACCUACCUCUUACAAAGGGAUAGCCUCGGGAAACCGGGAUUAAUACCAUAUAACAUUGCGACGAAGCAUUUCGAUGCAAUCAAAGCUACGGCGGUAAGAGAUGGGCUCGCGUCCCAUUAACCAGAUGGUGAGGUAACGGCUCACCAUAGUAACGAUGGGUAACCGGCCUGAGAGGGUGAACGGUCACACUGGAACUGAGACACGGUCCAGACUCCUACGGGAGGCAGCAGUGGGGAAUAUUGCACAAUGGAGGGAACUCUGAUGCAGCGACGCCGCGUGAGUGAUGAAGGAAUUCGUUUCGUAAAACUCUGUUCUAUGGGAAGAAAAGGACUGUACCAUAGGAGAAAGCUCCGGCUAAAUACGUG
rnacentral:rRNA from 1 species